AACGAAAGCUGUUCGUUGGAAUGCUCAGCAAAAAACUGUGCGAGAAUGACGUGCGUUCUCUGUUCAGCAGUUACGGGACAAUCGAGGAGUGUACCGUUCUUAGGGACCCAACCGGAAAUUCUCGCGGCUGCGCAUUCGUAACUUUUGCCUCCAAGCAGUCAGCCUUAAGUGCCAUCAAAGGUCUCCACCAAUCACAAACAAUGGAGGGAUGCUCUGCGCCCCUUGUAGUCAAAUUCGCCGACACACAAAAAGAGAAAGAACUGAAAAGACAGCAGCAAAUGCAGGCCAACGUAUGGAACGCUUUGGCCGCCCCGACGCUGGCUUCACCGCCGCAGCAGUACUCCCCCGUUAUGCCCAACGAGGCGACCUCCUUACAGCUCCUACAGGCGAUGGGCGGCGCGGGGCUACUGCAGCAGCAAUUCCUUUCCGGUACUGAGAGUUUGUUAGCGCCGAUAGGCGUGCAAAAUCUGGUAACCUUGGCGGCCAUGUCGCAACCAGCGACGGCCGCGACCACGCCGUUGUGCAUGGCCAACUUGUUAGGGAAAGGUGCGGGGGUUGAGAGGACACUAACCGCGAGUUUGCCGCCGGGUCUGUCAACGCCUGAUCUGUCGACAUACGGAUCGCUCAUCACCAGCGCGACCAUCAACGCGGCGGCCCUCGCGGCAGCGGGAAAACAGAUUGAGGGUCCGGAUGGUUGUAACCUGUUUAUCUACCACCUGCCCCAAGAAUUCACUGACACGGACCUGGCGUCGACUUUCCUACCUUUCGGUCCUGUUAUUUCUGCCAAGGUGUUCAUAGACAAACAGACGAACCUGUCCAAGUGUUUCGGGUUUGUGUCGUUUGAUAACGCCCAAUCCGCUCAACAAGCCAUAUCUGCGAUGAAUGGGUUCCAAAUCGGUACCAAAAGGCUGAAGGUCCAACUGAAACGGGCCAAAGAUGCUUCAAAACCCUACUAGCCAAAGAGACGAGCCAGUCAACCGAGUGAAAGGCCGGCCUAAGGAACGACGCUGACCGAAGGCUGGCCCGACAGGCCGGCCUUUCUCACCCAGCACCGUGCCAGUGCAGUGCAAAUCUCAGGAUCUAGCUGCUAUUUUUAUGAACUGUACGCUUUCCGACAGCUCGGAGUUCUUGCAGAGACACGGUUGUACUAAGUGGUCUGUGGAUUGCUGCCAUGUUAAUACGAGUAUUCCUAGCUCCGUUUGGCACCAUCUGAGCAGGAGAAAGUCUAUGGAAGACACUUGCUCCACUAUUCCCACUGUACAUAUGCUGGGGAGAAACAGAAAAUAUACAUCAUCUAUUCAAAUGGCGACAUUGAAUUUAUAUAGAAAUAUAAUAAAAUCAUUUCCAAACAAUA
rnacentral:misc_RNA from 1 species